rnacentral:precursor_RNA from 15 species
UUGUAGAAACGUAUUAGGCCAUAUCCUCAGACAGUGUAAAUCGGCAUAGCGCUUUUAACUUCAGUGGAUCUGUGCUAAUUUACAUCUGCCGAGGACCUGGCCCAUUAUACUGUAUGAUCUC